rnacentral:miRNA from 1 species
CCCGUGCAGAGAUUAUUUUUUAAAAGGUCACAAUCAACAUUCAUUGCUGUCGGUGGGUUGAAUUGUGUGGACAAGCUCACUGAACAAUGAAUGCAACUGUGGCCCCAAUU